rnacentral:rRNA from 1 species
UACGUAGGGGGCAAGCGUUGUCCGGAAUCAUUGGGCGUAAAGCGCGUGUAGGCGGUCCGGUAAGUCCGCUGUGAAAGUCGGGGGCUCAACCCUCGGAUGCCGGUGGAUACUGUCGGGCUUGAGUACGGAAGAGGCGAGUGGAAUCCUGGUGUAGCGGUGAAAUGCGCAGAUAUCAGGAGGAACACCAAUUGCGAAGGCAGCUCGCUGGGACGUUACUGACGCUGAGACGCGAAAGCGUGGGAGCAAACAGG